rnacentral:rRNA from 1 species
UACGAAGGGGGCUAGCGUUGCUCGGAAUCACUGGGCGUAAAGGGCGCGUAGGCGGCGUUUUAAGUCGGGGGUGAAAUCCUGGAGCUCAACUCCAGAACUGCCUUCGAUACUGGCGAUCUUGAGUCCGGAAGAGGUGAGUGGAACUCCUAGUGUAGAGGUGGAAUUCGUAGAUAUUAGGAAGAACACCAGUGGCGAAGGCGGCUCACUGGUCCGGUACUGACGCUGAGGUGCGAAAGCGUGGGGAGCAAACAGG